AUGAACGCUGGCGGCGUGCUUAACACCUGCCAGUCGAACGAAGCAUUUAAGACAGAUUACUUCGGUUUGAAGUCUCUUAUGACUGAGUGGCGGACGGGUGAGUAACGCGUGGGUAACCUGCCUCAUACAGGGGGAUAGCAGCUGGAAACGGCUGGUAAUACCGCAUAAGCGCACAGUACCACAUGGUACAGUGUGAAAAACUCCGGUGGUAUGAGAUGGACCCGCGUCUGAUUAGCUUGUUGGCGGGGUAACGGCCCACCAAGGCGACGAUCAGUAGCCGACCUGAGAGGGUGACCGGCCACAUUGGGACUGAGACACGGCCCAGACUCCUACGGGAGGCAGCAGUGGGGAAUAUUGCACAAUGGAGGAAACUCUGAUGCAGCGACGCCGCGUGAGUGAAGAAGUAGUUCGCUAUGUAAAGCUCUAUCAGCAGGGAAGAUAGUGACGGUACCUGACUAAGAAGCUCCGGCUAAAUACGUG
rnacentral:rRNA from 1 species